rnacentral:rRNA from 1 species
AUUGAACGCUGGCGGCAUGCCUUACACAUGCAAGUCGAACGGUAACAGGUCUUCGGAUGCUGACGAGUGGCGAACGGGUGAGUAAUACAUCGGAACGUGCCUAGUAGUGGGGGAUAACUACUCGAAAGAGUGGCUAAUACCGCAUGAGAUCUACGGAUGAAAGCAGGGGAUCGCAAGACCUUGUGCUACUAGAGCGGCCGAUGGCAGAUUAGGUAGUUGGUGGGAUAAAAGCUUACCAAGCCGACGAUCUGUAGCUGGUCUGAGAGGACGAUCAGCCACACUGGGACUGAGACACGGCCCAGACUCCUACGGGAGGCAGCAGUGGGGAAUUUUGGACAAUGGGCGCAAGCCUGAUCCAGCAAUGCCGCGUGCAGGAUGAAGGCCUUCGGGUUGUAAACUGCCUUCGUACGGAACGAAAAGCCCUGGGUUAAUACCCUGGGGUCAUGACGGUACCGUAAGAAUAAGCACCGGCUAACUACGUGCCAGCCGCCGCCGUAA